AAACUGUAAAUAUUUAUUAUCUACAAGCAGGAGUAUAAGGAUUGGAGGUAGUAGUAAUCCUAGCUUGCUAACAAGCAAUUUCCCUUCCCUUUCUCGGAGAACCCAAAGACCGACAAAAGAAGAGAAGCAGAAACCAGCUGAGCUUCGAUUCUACUACAGUACUACAGUCCAAAGCUACAAGCUGGUUCCUUUAAAACUUAAAAAAAAAAAAAAAAAAAAA
rnacentral:misc_RNA from 1 species